rnacentral:rRNA from 1 species
UACGUAGGGGGCAAGCGUUGUCCGGAAUCAUUGGGCGUAAAGAGCGUGUAGGCGGCCAGAAAAGUCCGCUGUGAAAACUCGAGGCUCAACUUCGAGCUGUCGGUGGAAACUUUCUGGCUAGAGUCCGGAAGAGGAGAAUGGAAUCCCGGUGUAGCGGUGAAAUGCGCAGAUAUCGGGAAGAACACCCGUGGCGAAGGCGGCUCUCUGGGACGGUACUGACGCUGAGACGCGAAAGCGUGGGGAGCGAACAGG